AGCGAACGCUGGCGGCAGGCUUAACACAUGCAAGUCGAGCGGGCACUUCGGUGUCAGCGGCAGACGGGUGAGUAACGCGUGGGAACGUACCCUUCGGUUCGGAAUAACGCUGGGAAACUAGCGCUAAUACCGGAUACGCCCUUUUGGGGAAAGGUUUACUGCCGAAGGAUCGGCCCGCGUCUGAUUAGCUAGUUGGUGGGGUAAUGGCCUACCAAGGCGACGAUCAGUAGCUGGUCUGAGAGGAUGAUCAGCCACACUGGGACUGAGACACGGCCCAGACUCCUACGGGAGGCAGCAGUGGGGAAUAUUGGACAAUGGGCGCAAGCCUGAUCCAGCCAUGCCGCGUGAGUGAUGAAGGCCUUAGGGUUGUAAAGCUCUUUUGUCCGGGACGAUAAUGACGGUACCGGAAGAAUAAGCCCCGGCUAACUUCGUG
rnacentral:rRNA from 1 species